AUAUAUGUGUAGGCAAUAAGUUCCUCAUGAAGGACUCUGCUUAUUGUUACAUUGCAAACCAAAUCACAGAAGUCCCAGUCCAAGAAAGCAGCCCCGCUCCAGUAGCCCAAGAAGAUGAACCUCAAAAUAAAAGAAAAGGACAAACCAAGAUUUCUGUACCAUUUGCAAUUAUCCUGAGGAAAGCUUAUCCAUAAGAGAACAUCCUCAAGAUGUUAAUAAGUAUUUGGAUGUUUAGAAAAUAAAGUCAAAAUGAAUAUUCACUCUGCAGAACCGAAGCUUUGGGAUUUGAGAGCUAUUCACUGUUGUCAGUUAAUUGCCUGUGGAACAUACCCAUUUGGAAAAGCAUAAACCAUAAAUUCAUAAAAACUCUUGAAUGCAAGAAAGUGCAAGAACUCAUCAAAUUAAUUCACUUGCUCCAAGACAAAGCCAGCUCUAUGUCUGUAAUUCAGAUGUUUGUCUAUAUUCUUCACAAACAGAGCUCCUGAUACAUACUCUACAGUUCUCCUGGAUAAUCUAUUUCAAUGCUUGUAGGAGCCUGCUUUGCUUAUUCCUGAUCACAUCUCACAGCAGCUACCAGGGAGAAGGUAUCUUCAUGGGGGCACUGGCAUUGUGCCAGUGUCAAACCAUGACAUAGUGGUCAUGCUUUCUGCAUACUCCCAUCAGCUUUCUUAAGGACUGACAGCCCCCUUCUUUAUGAGCAGAACUCCUAUCUGAAGAAUUUGAUGCACAGGGAAAAAAAUACUUCAGAUGUCAAAAAAAAUUACACUCCAAUGUACACCUUCUGUUGUGGUAUUUUCCUUGUUAGUUUGAUACUGCUCAGCCAUGUUCACUUUGUCUUUCAUUCUCCGAGCUAUACCACAGAGCUGUACCUAAUGAAUCGCUCUCUGCUCUGCAUUUUCACUGUUGAUUACUCCAUCCAAGUGUAGAAACUUACACUAAGUCCUUUCCAAACUUUUAUGUAAUUGAUUUCUAACAUAACAUAUACAUACUAAAUUCUAACUAUGUCCUCCAACAUGAUUUCAGCUUUUCUGAUGGACCAUUUUUUGUAACUGCUCUGUCAGAUACUCUCUCCCAAUAUCCAACUGAUUAGAAAAUACUGACUAACUUGAACACACUGACAAUCCGACACACUGCAAAACCCCACUUAGUACAUCCUUUAAUUUUGGCACAGAAUCUUUCAAAACUAAUGAUUUUUUUAACUUAAUGCACAAUAUAGAUUAAUAAUUAAUAGACACUAUUUGCCUAGCUUGCUUCUAAAAAGACCACAAGGCAGCAGAAGUUAUAUUGAAGUUAAAGUACACAUAAUCUGCUACACCUUCCUUUUUCUGCAGUAUUUUUCUGACACCAGAAAAGGAAAAAAAGUUGUUUGUACUUGACAAAUCAAUACUAGUGUUAUUCAUAUUCCCAUUCCUGUAACAUUUACGUAUUGUUAGCUUGCAUAGUUUUCCCAAAUUAUUUCUGGAAAUUGAUACUAAUCUGACUGGCCUGUAUUUCCCUGUCCCCUCUUCCUCUACAUAGGCACCGUAUUUAUCUUUCCCCAUCCUUAAGACUCCUGGCAUGUUCCCCCAAAUCUCUCAGGUCUCAGGUCCCCCAAAUCACUAACCGGUCUAGAACUCUAGCAAUAACCUUUAAUGAUGGGUAGAAGCAGAACCAAAACCCAAAAUGUCAAGCCCUGCAGACCCUAUCUGCAUUAAUAUGGAAAAUCCAGAUCAAGUGAGCUUUUGUCUCUGCUUCUCAGGAAACCUGGCAAUUUGAAAACACAGAAACUUGCUGUGUUUUUUAUUAAUCUUCUUUUAUUAUUAGCUGAGACCUUUUUCUCAGUAUCAUGAUAGCCAUAAGUUAUAUUGAACAUUUUUGGAGAACACUUAAAAAAAGGUAUUAUAUCCCUUGAACCUCCAUGGCAUGUUUACUGACCAUUAUCCCUUUUGCUGAGUAACAGACCAACUUCUUUGGUAAGCUGUCUCUUACAGUAUGAAAGGAAUAAGGUAUACUUAAAGUCAGUUGUUUUCACCCUCUGUUAGUUGCUACUGAAGUCUCUACAACAUUAAAACUUUUUGACAUGUAACAAAGCUUUAGAAACAUUCAUCUUGAGUAAAUAGAUACGAGAAGUUCUAAUUUUAUAGAAUUACAUUUUAUCUACAGUCUUCCAUGCCGAAGUUCUGCUUUAAUCACUCAAUCCAUUAAUUACAACUUCCCUUUCAUAAAAUAAAGUUGUGUUCCUAAGACAUUUAAUGGUUUAUAAAAAGCCUUGAAAGAUGCUCUGAAUAUUUGUGACUGUCAUGUAAGAUAUCAAUUAUCUUGUCUGCAGAACAAGACUGCAGAACUUUAUGCAAAGAUCAGCACACCAGUUCUUUGCAGAUAUAAAUUAACUUUUUUAACAGUAAAACAAAACCUGUAAUUUAGUGAAAUUAGGCUUAAUUAUAUAUAUAUAUAUAUCUACACAUACACAAUAUUAGGUAAAAAAUAUUAGACAACUUACUGUCCAUGCUCUCUUCCCUCUUCUUCAACUCCUUGUACUUCCAAUUUUCUUCCCCUACAAGACAUGUACCAUUGAUUUAACUUUAUAUUGUCUCAGGCCUGGACUCCUUCAUGAAGGUAAAAUGUCUGCUUCAAAAAUAAAAUUUCUACAUGCCUAGGAACUACAGGAUUCAUCCUAUUUCAUUUAAUGUAGUCAGUUCAACUAACUAUAUUAUAUAUAUCUUUAUAUUAAAAAAGAAGAUAGCCUAAUAAAUCAGCCUCAAUACAAUUUUGACAACAUUUCAAGGUUACAACUUCUGAUAGAUAGGAGGGAGAUAAAUACUUGGUUUGGGCAAAGGAAAUUCACAGGGGUUUCUGAAGUUAAGUGAAUUUCAAUAAUGGAGAACAAAUGCUUCUUUGUAUUUGCACCAAGAUUAGUUAAAACUUUCUGCAGUCCUGUUUAAUGUAUAAGCCACUUCAACUGCACUUUCACCUAUAAGAAUGGUCUUUCAUAAGGAUAUGCAGCUUGCAAGUGAUAAUCUCAAGGAAAUAAACAGGAGAACUGUACGAGCAAUGGUCUAGGAAAAUAAAAUGCACAGAAAGCUUUCUACAGUUAAGUUGGAAACAUUUCCAUACACCUUCAAUAUACUGGUAUUAGAAAUAAGGAAUAACAUUCAUAGACACCGUAUUUUUAAAUUCAACUACUGAUUAUAAUUAACUCCUAAUUUCUAAGUAUUAGGAAAGUGGGACACCUGAUAUAUCUGUCACAAGAAGAUGAGACAAUUCAUUUCCUAGAAAUAAUUUUAAGUUUCAAACAUCUAUAUUUUUAA